rnacentral:rRNA from 1 species
UACAGAGGGUGCGAGCGUUGUUCGGAAUUACUGGGCGUAAAGCGCGUGUAGGCGGCCAUCUAAGUCGGGCGUGAAAUCCCACGGCUCAACCGUGGAAGUGCACUCGAAACUGGAUGGCUAGAGUCCUGGAGAGGAAGGUGGAAUGCUUGGUGUAGAGGUGAAAUUCGUAGAUAUCAAGCGGAACACCGGUGGCGAAGGCGGCCUUCUGGACAGUGACUGACGCUGAGACGCGAAAGCGUGGGGAGCAAACAGG